rnacentral:rRNA from 1 species
GACAGAGGUGCCAAGCGUUAGGCGGAAUCACUGGGCUUAAAGCGUGUGUAGGCGGAUUGGUAAGUACCUUGUGAAAUCCCACAGCUCAACUGUGGAACUGCUUGGUAUACUGCCUAUCUUGAGCCACUUAGGGGCUGUCGGAACAAAUGGUGGAGCGGUGAAAUGCGUAGAUAUCAAUUUGGGAACGCCAACGGAGAAAUCAGGUAGCUGGGGGUGUGCUGACGCUGAGACACGAAAGCCAGGGGAGCGAACGGG